rnacentral:rRNA from 1 species
AUGGUCUUCAAGCUCGAUUUCAAAAAGGCUUUUGAUUCUGUUGCUUGGCCCACCCUUGACAGAAUCUUGGAUGUUCGUGGAUUCUCACAAACCUUUUGCUCCUGGAUUCAAAAUAUCCUCCUCACGGGCAAAACUGCUAUCCUCCUAAACGGCAUCCCAGGCCACUGGGUACAAUGCAAGAACGGCCUACGACAGGGUGACCCGGCCUUUUUCCCCUACCUGUUUCUCAUCGUCGCCGACCUACUUCAAUAA